rfam:Gammaproteobacteria bacterium RIFCSPHIGHO2_12_FTLL_41_15 rifcsphigho2_12_scaffold_37423, whole genome shotgun sequence.
GAAGUGCAGCCAUGAAAGCAUUGACCAAAUGCAUCAUGUAUCGAGUUUUGGUCUUGCUGUGGUAACGCAGCAGGUUAAGCGUAAACAGAGAUAUUGCAGGCCGUAAACCGCAAGGCUGAAGUGAUCGAGCCCCGUUAAAGCCGUUUUUUGAGAUGGCAGAUCGUGUGAUGAGACGAGAAUGCAAAAUUGUGGUGCUCAGUAAUGGCAGAACACUAUGACAUCUUCGGGGUCUAAAGAGCA